CCACUUGGAGAUGAAGAGAUGAUUGGGUAUAUUCUUAAUGGUCUUGAUUCUGAUUAUGAUCCCUUAGUCUCAGCUAUUGUAACUAGGGUAGAACCCAUCAGCUUGUCUGAAUUGUACUCCCAAUUAACUAGUUUUGAGA
rnacentral:snoRNA from 1 species